rnacentral:misc_RNA from 1 species
UUGAGCUUCCGAUGCUGAGCCACCUAGCGAGGAGAGCAGACCCGACAUCAACUGGGAUGUUGGAUGACACAGACACCUACCACCAUCAGCUUUUCAAUCCCCACCAGUUACCAUCCUCGGCUAAACAGGCCACCGCUACUCAGAUCUAGCCAUGGCAAACCCCCAACCAAAUCCUUCAUUCAAAACCUCUGCAUGCUUGCCCUAAGAUCUGGCAAACAAGACAA